GGAGUUUAGUGAUUCUGGAAUGGGAGAUCUACAAUAGAAGUGGGACAGAAAUUCUCCCAAGGUGUCCAGACCUUCACUUUGUGUUACCAACACCAAAUCCAGAAGAGACAUCAGGAAGUGUCAUCUGACAGCAUCAGCAGAUGUGAACUAAUUUGGAUGGGGUUUUCUGAAGAAGGCAGGGAACUGCAGAAAGGAAAAUGAUGGACUUAUGGUGAAGCCAACUGAAGUGCCUCUGGAGACAACUGAAUAUCUGUCAGGAUCUGGUGAAUAGAAGUGAGGAAAGGAUUUUUUUAAGACCAUGGCAUGUUGCCCCUGUCUUUUGAGAUGAAUUCUGGUGAUAUCACCUGCACAAACAACCUGUUGAGGCACAGUGAAGCUACUCUUAAAAGUAAGGAGUGGGGAAGAAUGUUGCUACAUGCGCCCAGUCUUUGUGAUCUGACAGCCACAAGACUCAAAAGGGUCCAAUUUUCUUUUCAUAUGGGAUGUGUGUUUUGCACACAUUGUAAUUUGUGGUUUGAGGAUAAAAGAACCAAGAGCGACAUUUGAAACUGUGGACUAUUCAUUUUGAUUACCUCAUAUUUCAGGGAUGCAGAGCUGGUCAGGCAGAAGCAGGGUCAAAAAGUGAAGCUAUUUUUGGUUGUACAACACAAGUGAAUUAGGUGUUAUCUCUAAGAUAAAGGUAACUGUUGUAUCAGUGAAAAGUGAUAGCACUCUGAGUCUAUUAUGUACUAUCUUGUAUUGCUUUGCCAUGCAACCCAGCUCUGCCAUUGAAAAGGCCUUCUCUUUUGAUAUGCUUCUGUUCUUGAUCUCCUGAAAGAACCUCAGGGUGGUCACUGGGACUGUCAUGGAAAUUAGUAACAUGGCUGAUUUGGUCAAUGAGAAGAAAACAAUUGUUUAAAGGGUAAAGCUGAUGUGGAUAGAAAAAGAAUAAGUCUGAAGAAGAUACGAUCUCUGCAACAAGCUCCAAACAAACUACAUUUGUUCCAGAGGUAAACUCUCUAGGCCAAAGCUUGAAAAAAGUUUUAUUCAAAAUUAAUGCUUUUUGUCUACUGCUCUUUAGCAAAUCUCAGUCCAUUGUGCCAGUCUGCCUUUUAUCCUAAAACUCUCCAGCUUUGAUGUUAAGGUUAUAGUUUUUGAACACCAGCUGUCACCCAUGACAUCCAUUGUUUUUAUUACAAUGCUUGGGUUGCAAGAAAAAAAUUGACAUUUUUUUCCACAAAGAUUGUUACAAAUCCCCAAACAAGAUGUAUGUCUCUCUCUCUCUCUGCUCUGUCAUCUCCUAGGAACUGUCUAGUGCUAUAUGCAUUUUUAAGGGUGGGAGCUGGAUAGGGGGAGGGUGGAGAAAGGGGAUCAACAAACCUGCCAAAACAAAUAAUUUUAUAAGAUCACUUGCUUUCUUUGGGUAUUAAAUAGUGGGAAGGACAGCAGGGGUGCAGAGUGCUGAAUGAGGAUGAGAAUAAAGGAGUGUGGAGAAUACAGCUGGGGUAGGGCAAAGGGCAGUGGAGAGAGCUAUUAAAGAAAGGUAACUGAAAAUGUGAGAGGUAAAAAAGUACAACCCUGAGAAUAAUCAAUAGUAGGAAGCUAAGAGACUUCAUUUUAACCCUAAAACCAGGACAUGGGGAGGUUGUAACUAUUUAUACUAUAGAUCCUUUAAUAAUAUAUGAAUUGAAUGCAAUAUACGAUCUUCAUUGUUAAUACAGCCUUAAAGUGCUGCUUUGCUGAGAGACCAUCCAGCCACUAGUCCAUUAAUUUUUCUCCUAAACUAAGAGCAAGGUUUUGUUUAAAGAGGCAGCUCAGGAAGCCAUUGUCUCCAUGUGCAAUUGAGAUACUCUGGACUUCUUACAGCAGGGGGUCUUAAUAAGAGUGUUUCCUUUAAGGGUGCCAUUAAGCCAUGGUAGUCUUCCUUUCGUUUCUUCAGAUAAACCUUUCCAAUAAAAUCCUAUUUUAAGCAACCAUGCAUGGGUGUGAGUGUUUAAGAGGAGUGGCUUUUAUUCUGACAAAAAUAGCCUCUGAACUGCAUGAUAGACCAACCACUUAAAUGUUUUUUUUUCUGUUUUUGUGCAAUUGCCAUGCAGUCCCAUUGAUCCAUGUGAGGUUCUACAUGCUUUCUGGAUUGAUUUUUGUAAUGCAUCCUUUCCUCUUAGCCCCUACCCCAGCUUACUUGUGUCUCCUAACCUUUGGAGCCCUUUACUUUGGUACAGUGUGAACUCCUAGUUGUCCGUUGUAAAACCCAACACAUUUUGUAAAAAUGUAAGAAUACUUCCAGCUCCUUCUACUGUAGAAAUGCAUUCCUUAAGCCAUUUUUAGCAUAUAAGAAGCAUUGGUGUCCAUCUAGAUAUCACUAUUUGUUAAGCUAUUCCUGAGCUUAUGCAUAUAAGGUUGUCUAUCAUAGACCAUCACAAAGGGCAAUUCUAUACCACCAUAAUCUCUUGAGACCUGUUUUGCUGUUGCUUCAGAACAUUUUUAGUCAUUUUCAGUAGGGUGUUAUUCCAGCUGGGUAGCAUUUUAUAUCCACUUUGCUUGUGAUAUGUGACUAUGCACAGGGCAAGGCAGUGGAGAAUCAGGGCCUCUGUGCCUUUUUUUUUCUGAUGCAUUAACUGGGAAGAGUAAUUAAUGCUUAUCUCAGACAAUUGCUAAUACUUAUGAAGCUAAAGAUCCUUAAUUAAAAGGAGCUAUAGUAAAGCAAAGUGUAAUAGUUUUUUUUUAAAGUUCCUUCUUUAUUUUCUUGCUGACUUGCUUGCUGACUGUCCGCUUUGGAGACCACUCAGAUUGUCUAGCUGCAACUACUAAUGUAACACAACAAUCAAAUAUACAAUACCCAGAGAAUAAUCUUCAUUCCUUCUCCUUUCCUGAAUGGCAGAAAACUUUUAUGAAAGACAGCAAAGCACCAAGCUGAAAUUCUUAUGAGAACGGGCAUUCUUGCAAAAUGUUCUAUUGGUCAUGUUUUCAGAUAAUUUGAACACCACAAAAAAGGUGUGCCCUCCCCCCCGGCUGUAUUUUCAUAUGUUUUUCAACCUGGAAAUCUGAAGCAUUUGAAAAUUCAAAGGAAAAAACAUCCUCCCCCAGUUCCGUCAUCCCCUUUUUAUUUUUCUUACUAGCUAAAAUAGAUAGGGCUUGAGGUUUGGGGGAAGGCUGAAGACUUCUUAUACUGGAAGUUGUUGGUCCAUCCUUACUCUAAACCAAGGUUUUAGGUAACAGCUUGUAUUCACAUGAACCAGUUUAUGGGAAUACAGCAGUGUAACGCUUCUGGCUUCACCUGCUACAUUUCAUUAUGCUUGCAUUGAUGUGCCCAAUGCAUCAUUUGCCACCACGGUGGAGAGAAUCAAGCGGGCGUAGACAACUUUCGCAACUCUCUUGGGUCAUCAUGCCAGCCAAGAUCCUGCAUUUCAU